rnacentral:rRNA from 1 species
AGUGAACGCUGGCGGUAGGCCUAACACAUGCAAGUCGAACGGCAGCACAGUAAGAGCUUGCUCUUACGGGUGGCGAGUGGCGGACGGGUGAGGAAUACAUCGGAAUCUACUUUUUCGUGGGGGAUAACGUAGGGAAACUUACGCUAAUACCGCAUACGACCUACGGUUGAAAGCAGGGGAUCUUCGGACCUUGCGCGAUUGAAUGAGCCGAUGUCGGAUUAGCUAGUUGGCGGGGUAAAGGCCCACCAAGGCGACGAUCCGUAGCUGGUCUGAGAGGAUGAUCAGCCACACGGGAACUGAGACACGGUCCAGACGCCUAAGGGAGGCAGCAGUGGGGAAUAUUGGACAAUGGGCGCAAGCCUGAUCCAGCCAUACCGCGUGGGUGAAGAAGGCCUUCGGGUUGUAAAGCCCUUUUGUUGGGAAAGAAAAGCAGCAGGUUAAUACCCCGCGGUUCUGACGGUACCCAAAGAAUAAGCACCGGCUAACUUCGUG